UUGGUUUGGUUUGUUAUUUCUCUCUGCGUGUGUAACUGUUUCUUGUUCCUAGGAUCAGCGGGAUACCACCAUUACCUCCCUUAGGAUCCUGCAGCCAUAGCAAGGUCCUGGUAAUUGGGAAAAGUUCCUGAUGAUUGAAGAAAGGAUAAAUGUCAUUCCUGUUGUCAGGAAUGGCAGUGAGGAUCCACACAACUACCAGCUGGUCAGCCUUAACUCAGUCCCUGGAAGAGUGGACAGCACAUCCUUCUGGAAGCUAUUUCAAAGCACGUGAAGGACAAGAAAAUGACUGGAAACAGCCAUCAGGGAUUUACCAAUGACCAACCUCAUUACCUUCUACAGUGAGGCAACAGCCUGGGUGGACAACAGGAGGGCACUUGGUGUUGUAUUGGUUGAUAGUAGCCUUGACUUUGUCAUGACAUGGUCUCCCAACUGUCUACUUGUAGCCCAGUUGGUGACAUUGGGACUGGGUAAGUGGAGUGUGAAGUGAGUGAGAAACGGGGUGGGUGGUUGGGCUGAAGGGGUCAUAUCAACUAUAUGCAGCCCAACUGGCAACUAGCUGCUAUGGGAUCCUUCAGGAAAGGGGCCUCCCUCUCAGUAGCAAGAUGCUGGCAGCACAACUGCUGUGAAGAUGUGUCUGUUGCCACCAGAAGCUGGAGGGGGUGUGUAUGUGAAUAAGGCGGCUUGGAGGAAACCCUUCUCUUGACUUAAUUACCUAUUAACCUACAUUUCCUCCUUCUGUUUCACUGGUGAUGAAACCUAAAUGCAGAACCUGUUACUGACAAGUGUAUGGAAUAUGUGUCUGGUCAUUGGAGUUUUCAGCAGAAGCAUGUGGCUGCUGUUGGGAAUUCCUCACCUCUGAGUGACAAGAGCUACUGAGGACCUGUAGCCAGGUUGGCAUAGUGGAAAUUGCAUGGGAACCGUACCUACAGCCACCCCUCCUGGCAUUCCUUCAAGGGCUCUUAAGGUUUACUGCAGAGGGAGUAGUCUUACACAUACAACAUUUGCUCCUCCAUCUCUGGGUUGACACAGAUGAUCACUGCAGAGACCACAGACACGUUCUGUUAUGGGAUGGAGGAUUCCAGACAGAAAGUACCAAAUGGGCAGGAAGUUCCCAGUUACAUGCACAGCAUAGGGAUGCUGUCUGCAAGCUUUAUUUUAACGUGAUUGAUAAAUAUUGGGGAGCCACCUGAAUGGGAGUGCCCUUCAUGAAGGCUGGCAUUAAUGGAGCAGAGGGAAGACCCAGCAGAGCCAGUGAUCAGGUG